rnacentral:rRNA from 1 species
UACAGAGGGGGCAAGCGUUAUUCGGAAUUAUUGGGCGUAAAGGGCGCGUAGGCGGCUUGGCAAGUGGAUGGUGAAAUCCCUCGGCUUAACCGAGGAACGGCCGUCCAAACUGCUUCGCUUGAGACCGGGAGAGGUGAGUGGAAUUCCCAGUGUAGCGGUGAAAUGCGUAGAUAUUCGGAAGAACACCAGUGGCGAAGGCGGCUCACUGGCCCGGUACUGACGCUGAGGUGCGAAAGCGUGGGGAGCAAACAGG